rnacentral:rRNA from 1 species
AGCGCAGGCGGGAAACUAAGCGGAUCUUAAAAGUGCGGGGCUCAACCCCGUGAUGGGGUCCGAACUGGUUUUCUUGAGUGCAGGAGAGGAAAGCGGAAUUCCCAGUGUAGCGGUGAAAUGCGUAGAUAUUGGGAAGAACACCAGUGGCGAAGGCGGCUUUCUGGACUGUAACUGACGCUGAGGCUCGAAAGCUAGGGUAGCGAAGG